ACUUCAUGCUCGUGAGACAUUGCCAUCAGUGGGGACCAGCUGAAGUGACUUCUGCAGUUUCCUACCAUAUCUAUAACUUUUUUCCUCGUCUCUCUCUCUGACAUCAAACUGCUUCCCACCUGCCCUCCCAUUCUCACUCCAGCCACAAUGCCUCGUCCGUACCCAUACUUCUGCGGUUCUCCCAUGCCCUAGAUCUGCUCACUGCACAUAUGACCCAUGAUCUCACAGUCGGCAUCGAACAGGCUUCUGACCCACAUGUAAUUCUAGAGAUUCUGCUACCUGUGCAGUUUCCAGCCACAAGGCAGGCUUCUUGGUGAUAGAGACAAAGAACUCAAACCGUGGAACCAGACAGAGCUGAAUUCAAAGACUGCUUUGUUCAGGCUUUCACACUUGUCUGUCUUCAGAAACAUUUGUUGAGCAAUUUCUAUAUGCCAAGCCCUCUUUUUAGUGGAGCAGAUAUCAUGAGGAGCAGAAUAAAUUCAGUCCUAAGCCUCUGGAAGUCCUCAGAAAUGGGGAGGCCAGUCUACCAAAGAAUCUUACAAACGAUUGUUGAAACUUGCAAUAAAUAACAUGAAGAUUAUGUACAAGUGGGAUGAGGACAUGUAACAGAAAGAUUUCAUUUAAUCUGGGAGAAAGUAAAAUUUAAGCUGAGACCUUGAGGUGGACCAGCUGGCUGUGUAACAAGAGCAGGAAAGGCUGGUUGUUUAGGAAAAGGAAGGAAGUGUCUCCCAACAACAGGAUGAAUCAGAAAGAACAGCAAAUGCAAAGGCCUUGAGGCAAGAAGGAAGGUGGCAGAGGACAGAGAGUCAAGAGAGGGGGUAAAUGGUGCAAGACCAGACUGAAGUCCUGGGCAGUGCCUGAGGAACAUUUUGAUGACUUCAUAUUUUAUUUAAAAGCAACAGGGCACUGUUAUUCAAAGUGCAUAUUAGGAAAAAAACAAAAGCUACAGCUCAAAAAGAGAGAAACAACUCAAUUAAAAGCAGGUAAAAGGCAUGAACACACAUGCUACAAAUAAUAUCAAAAUGACCAACAAUUACAUGAAAGAGUUGCCAACAUCAUCAGUCAUCUGAGAGAUGCCUAUGAGCACAUAGUGAACCGUCACUAUGUAUCCAAUAGGAUGGCUAAAAUUUGAACUUAGUGUUGGUGAAAACAGGAGGCAACUGGAAUUCUCCUGGUGGAUCCUUUCUACAAGCAUAUGGAAAAUACAGUAAAACAAGAAGAACAAAGAAUUUUACCCUCUUGCAUUCUUCUUUCAUCCCGACCCCAACAGCAGCCAUCUGAGAGUAGCAGCCACUUUGCAGUCAUUACCCAACCAGACGGAGGAAAAACGACACCCGCCAGUGGAAGAAAACCACCAGAGAGCUGGGCAAAUGCACAGAUUCCUGCCUCAAGCUAAGAAGACAGUUCACUGAUUAAGGCUAAUUAGGACCUCACCGGAAGCCUUUAAGACCCUGCAGAGAAGACAGCCCUUAAAUAUCACACAUCACUGUGUGUUUAUGGCUCCAAAG